GUAAUAAUGAAGAGUCCCAAACUAGGACGAAACGGCUGUCCAGUAC
rfam:Trichobilharzia regenti genome assembly, scaffold: TRE_scaffold0000891